rnacentral:rRNA from 1 species
AACGAAUGCUGGCGGCAUGCCUAACACAUGCAAGUCGAACGAGACCUUCGGGUCUUGUGGCGCACGGGUGAGUACAACGUGGGAAUCUGCCCUUCGGUUCGGAAUAACAGUUAGAAAUGAAUGCUAAUACCGGAUAAUGACGAAAGCCCAAAGAUUUAUAGCAGAAGGAUGAGCCGGCGUAGGAUUAGGUAGUUGGUGGGGUCAUGCCCUACCAAGCCGUCGGUCAUUAGCUGGUCUGAGAGGAUGAUCAGCCACACUGGGACUGAGACACGGCCCAGACUCCUACGGGGGGCAGCCGUGGGGAAUAUUGGACAAUGGGCUAAAGCCUGAUCCAGCAAUGCUGCGUGAGUGAUGAAGGCCUUAGGGUUGUAAAGCUCUUUUACCCGGGAUGAUAAUGACAGUACCGGGAGAAUAAGCGCCGGCUAACUCCGUGCCAGCCGCCGCAGUAA